AGGGAGGUGGCCACUGCCCCUCCUCCCCUCCACACAUCUUCCCCUUCCUCUCCUCAUCGCCCCUUCUUUUUCUCCCAUCUUUUCCCUUCUUCUUAUCCCCUAUCUCUUUCCUUUUCCCUCCCCAGAUAGUUUAGAUAUGUUUGGAUCUAGGUUUGUUUGUUUGGUUGUUUUUGCUUUGUUAUAGGUGACUGAUGUUGUCUUUGUCUCGGCUGCGGCAACAGUAGUGAUGUUGGAUUGUGUCUCUCCUCGGGAGAGUUGUGAUACCUAAUGGCUAAUGUUUUGUCUUUGUUUUAACGGGGGUGGCAGCAGUGACGCUGGUAGUAGUUGUUGGGAUGUGGUGUUCUUCUCUACUUUGCGUUGACCAAAGAACUAUGCUUGGUCAUAGGAGGUUUUCUUUAUCAGGUUCUGAGUUGAAGUGUAGUGCUUCAUAUGGGUCCUUUUAUUGUUAUUUCUGUGUUCCCCCACCACGUUCUCUCCUAGUUUAUGCUAUAGUAUGCCUUACAGUUUGUGUGGGUGUCAAAGGACUAUGAUUUCGCUCAUAGAAGGCUUCUAUUGACAGUUAGGAUGUUCUGCGGUCCUCUCAUGUGGGUUUACUAUUUAAGGUUUAUGCAGUCUUCUUAUGUGGGUCUACUGUGUUGGUCUCUAGUUGUGGUUCUCAUCGAAGGUCUGUGUUAGUUUUCAUUUUUGGUUUGUUCUUUUAUUGUAAUGGUCCAAAGUGACCUGAAUUGAACUCUCUUGUUAGUCCAUAAGGUGUGUCCCUCUUUUCUCUCUUGGAUUUUGUCCCAUGAGGUUGUCCUAGGAAAGUUUUAACGAGGUCACUAUAUCAUGUCGCUCUUUGUAC
rnacentral:lncRNA from 1 species